rnacentral:rRNA from 1 species
UACGAAGGGUGCAAGCGUUAAUCGGAAUUACUGGGCGUAAAGGGUGCGUAGGCGGGUCUUUAAGUCAGGGGUGAAAUCCUGGAGCUCAACUCCAGAACUGCCUUUGAUACUGAAGAUCUUGAGUUCGGGAGAGGUGAGUGGAACUGCGAGUGUAGAGGUGAAAUUCGUAGAUAUUCGCAAGAACACCAGUGGCGAAGGCGGCUCACUGGCCCGAUACUGACGCUGAGGCACGAAAGCGUGGGGAGCAAACAGG